ensembl:lncRNA
GGGAACGGCUGGCUACCCACUCUAGUAUUCUCGCCUGGAGAAUUCCAUGGACAGAAGAGACUGGCUGACUACACUCCAUGGGGUUGCAAAGAGUCGGACACGACUGAUUGACUGAACAGCAACAACAGUCUUGAUUGACUAGAGUCUCUGAAACUAAGAGUCAUCUUGAUUUUACUUAAUUGAUGCUGUACUGAUAUAUUGGGCAAAAAUAGUCAAUUUUAACAAAUAAAUCUUAACCGAAUCAGAUUGGGUGCCUUUCAAUUAUAUGGGAUAUUUAUUAUUGUGGGAAAGAUGAUUUGAUUGAAAAAUAUAGUUGAUGUGUUCCAGGUCAUCCGUAUGAGAUUGGAAGUAAAGGAGUGUAAACGCAUGGGCCCAUGAUGAAAUGGCAGACCAGAAGUUGAGAAGUAGCAAAUACGAAGUGACAACUACAUUACUGUACAUGGAGUUAUUUACAGACCGAGAUGAUUGGUUUCCUAAUGAUCAUUUCAUAAGGUAAUUUUCUUGGGAUGCAAACUCUGGCCCCCUUGGUUUGCCCUGUCCACGUUUUGCAUUAUGUGUUCUCGGAAUCUUGUAAGACAUCCCAGGUAGAGCUAUAGCCCAUUUGAGUUUGGCAGAUAGCAGUUUUUGAAAUUCGGGGAUUUCCUUUGUGACUUGGGGAGAAAAGCUAAAGAUUUGGACCUGGGGCUUACCACUCAAACAUCUUAAAAGUAGAAGCCACAGGAUACAGUGAAGCUAUCAGAAUAUCCAUUGCCCAAAAACCAAGGACUACAUUGACUCCCAGUUCCAGGACAAGCUCGUAUUCAGCUGUGAAAUAUUUAAGCCGGUUUCUCC